CCUGCAGUUCAGGCUAGGCAAGCCACUUGAAGUAGGUUUUAGCUAAGUAGGUUUGGCUUGGCCAGUACUUGGAUGGGAGACCAAUUAGGAAAGCUGGGUUGCUGCUGGA
rnacentral:rRNA from 1 species